ACCCACCCACCGCAGCCCGGUGCGGACGGGGUCGCCGCCGGCUCCGCGCCGUGCCGCCGACAUGAAUUAUUCUCGGUUUCUCACAAGUGUGAGUGCUGCAAGAAAAGCCUCUCCAAUAAGAGUUCUGACUGAAUUGAUGCAAAAGUCUCCUCCGUCUCUCAUCUCUCUGGCUGGAGGGGCCCCAAACCCUGCUGUUUUUCCAUUUAAGAAGGCUACUAUUGCCACUGGACAUGGAAACGCUGUUGAGAUUGGGGAAGACUUAAUGAAGAGGGCUCUUCAAUACUCUGCCUCAGCAGGGAUUCCAGAACUGCUGUCGUGGCUGAAGAAUUUUCAGAGGAAUCUACACAAUCCCCCCACAGCCAACUACAGUCCUGAGGGAGGACAAAUGGAAGUGUGUGUCACAACUGGCAGCCAGGAAGGCUUAUGCAAAGUGUUUGAAAUGCUCAUUAAUCCUGGGGACAGCAUCCUUUUGGAUGCCCCCACAUAUUCUGGGACACUAGCAGCUCUGAGACCUUUGGGCUGUAACAUCAUUAAUGUUCCUAGCGACCAACAUGGCAUUAUUCCAAAAGCUCUAAAAGAAAUUCUGUCCGCUUGGAAUCCAGGAGAUAUAAAAAAUAGCCGCCCUGUCCCCAAGUUCCUGUACACGAUUCCAAAUGGCUGCAACCCAACUGGAAACUCUCUGACCGCGGAUCGCAAGAAGGAGAUCUAUCAGCUUGCAAGAAAAUAUGAUUUCCUUAUUAUAGAAGAUGAUCCUUACUACUUUCUUCAGUUUGAAAAGCCGUGGGCUCCAAGUUUCCUCUCAAUGGACGUGGAUGGCAGAGUCAUCAGGACUGACUCAUUCUCUAAAGUUCUCUCAUCUGGGUUGAGAGUUGGUUUUCUGACAGGUCCCAAGCCUCUUAUCGACAGAGUUAUUCUACACAUUCAGGUUUCUACAAUGCACACCAGCACUUUCACACAGAUGAUAAUUUCACAGCUUCUUCAGCAGUGGGGAGAAAAGGGUUUCUUGGAGCACACAGACAGAGUUGUGGAGUUCUACAGGACCCAGCGGGAUGCAAUGCUCAUUGCUGCUGACAAAUGGUUGAAAGGCUUGGCAGAAUGGCAUCCUCCUGCUGCUGGCAUGUUCUUAUGGAUCAAAAUUAAGGGAGUUUCUGAUACACAGCAGCUGAUCAUGGAAAAAGCUUUGCAAAAAGAAGUGUUACUGGUUCCUGGGGGAGUGUUCAGCAUCGAUAGUUCAGAGCCCAGUCCCUAUGUCAGAGCUUCUUUCUCUCUGCCUUCUCCAGCCCAGAUGGAUCUGGCAGUCAUGCAAGAAAACCAUACGUCUCCAGCUAGAAAGCAAUGCACAGGAUGUCCAGAAAAAUAAAGCAGGUUCCUAUCCCUUAGUGUGUAUAGGUGGUUAGAUACGAGACGCAGGGAGGACUCGACCUCUGAACAUCAAGAGAUGGUUGCUGGCACUGCUGAAUACACAGCUUUCUCCAGUAAGGUCAUGUCUGCACUGGAAAAUGUUGCUGCUAUAAACUUCAUUGACUUUCAGUUUCUGAUAACAGUAGGUGAAAGCAUACCCAACUCUGGCAUUGUGCCACAAGACACUGUUUUAUUCUGACAGCCACAGCCCUCCAUUUGCUGAGUCACUGAAAACUUGCAGUUAUGAGCCUGUCCAAAUGAAAGGCACCUUUAAUCAACGGCAAGUUUGUAAUAAAACUUGGCCUAGAUGUAAGUUUCUCCUAGGGGGACCUGCACAGCAGCAAGGGCAGCAAACAGCCUCCUCAGCAUCUGAGAAUCAAUCGCAGAGGUGCAGAAGGGGAUCCUACUGCAGAGGAAACAGGAUCUCAUCAACACUGUGUGCAGUUGUAAAUUUGAAAUCUCCAGACAGAACGCAGAGAAUCUGAGAAGCAGAAUAAAGACAUCCAUGAUGUCAGAUUUCAGUACACCACAUAACUUGCAUGCUGAAUACUUGCUGCUAGAUCUCCCUAAAAAGUGUUCUGAAGUCUUCCUUUUGUUGGGUCGGUGUACGUAAUCGAAUACACAAAGCCAGAACUCAGUUAUGACAGUGCUAUUCUCUGUGCUUCAGAAACAUAUCAGGUGCAAACUAAAAACCGAAACACUUUCUUUUCCAAAGAUAAGUUAUUUUCAGGUGUUUACCAAAAGAAACACAGAAAGCAAAGUUCCCAUGUACACUCAAAGGGUGGCAAAGCAUGAGAGUAUCACUGAGAACUGAAUGCAAACAAAGAGACAGACCAGGUGCCAAAAGGGAAACUCAUGGCAGAGUUUCUCACAGGAAAAGAGCCAGUGAAAUGAACCAUAAAAUAACUUUAAAAGGCAGAAGGGAGAAAAAUAUUUAUUCUGCAAAUGCAGGUGGGAGACAUUCAAGACCUAUCUGGAUGCCCACCUAUGUGACCUGCUGUAGGGUACCUGCUUUGGCAGGGGGUUGGACUUGAUGAUCCCUUAAGGUUCCUUCCAACCCCUGUCAUUCUGUGAUUCUGUUAGAAAACCCUCCUUCCAGCCCAAAACCAUUCCUCAGUCUUCACAGCAACUAGAUGCUGAGUGGAAUAAAAGGGCUCCAGGGGCAGUAAAAUUUAAUUACACUGGUUCUUGUUCCAUUGUCAUUGCUCACACUACCUCUCCUCUUGGGGGAAUUUAAAAAAUAAUGUAGAAAACUUUUGGUUUUUUUUUAGAGAAUAAUUUCUGCCUGCAAGAUUCUGAUUUUCCUAUGAUAUGAGAUGAUCUGUAUCAGAUUCUUCUGUAAGAAUAUGUUAAGUAUUUGCCUGCGGGUCUUAGUAUUCCUGUCAUGAACAUAUUUUCUUUCACAAGAAGCAAUGCAUUUGCAUCUGUGCCAGUUAAAUCACAUAAAUAGUCAAACAUUGGAAGUAUCCUUUGCUUUAAAUAUAUUUUAGUGUUUAGAGAACAGAAUUUGAGCCCCAAAACCUGCUUAUGCUAUCACAAAAGUGAAACUCCUGUUUGCUAUUGCAUACCUGCAAAUUCAAGGGCUGUUUAAACUCAUCACUGCCUAAGUUUGGAAAGCACCACUUACGUAGCUCUGCACUAAGAAAACUAGGGAGUGGGUGUAGAUCCUGUCAGGCUGCCAUGACAAUAUUCAUAGUGAGUGCUUCUUGCAGCCCAGGCAACACUUGACAGUGAAGGGUUACAUGCAGUGAGGGGAAUGCUGAAUUCCCCGCUCCCUUCCUCAGGGAUCCAAGCAGGCAGAGCUGGCCAAGCUAGACGCAGAAAAAGAGUGUCCAUAGAUUCAUCACUGGAUUUACCUCUGAUCAUUCCAUGCACAGCCUCUUGGGAUAUAUUUAGCAAUGAAAUUCUCAAUGUGUGUUAUGUGGUUCUUACGGUUUUGGAAUUACAUCCUUUUAUGUGUACAGUAUUUAUUUAUUUUUUUCAUGUAAUAGUAAUACUGAGAGUAAUCCUACACAUAGAAUCAUAGAAUCAUAGAAUCACCAAGGUUGGAGCAGACCUAAAAGCUCAUCCAGUCCAACCGUUCACCUAUUCCCAAUAGCUCCCACUAAACCAUGUCCCUCAACACAACAUCCAGCCUUUCCUUGAACACCCCCAGGCUCAGUGACUCCAUCACUUCCCUGGGCAUCCAUUCCAGUGCCUGACCACCCUUUCUGAAAAGUAAUACUUCCUCAUGUCCAGCCUGAAUCUCCCCUGCCGUAGCUUGAAACCAUUCCCUCUGGUCCUAUCGCUAAUGACACGAGAGAAGAGGCCGACCCCCAGCUCACUACAACCUCCCUUCAGGAAGUUAUAGAGAGCAAUGAGGUCUCCCCUGAGCCUCCUCUUCUCCAGGCUGAACAUUCCCAGCUCCUUCAGCCUCUCCUCAUCAGCCCUGUGUUCCAGACCCCUCACCAGCUUUGUUGCCCUCCUUUGAACACGUUCCAGGGCCUCAAUAUCUUUCUUGCAGUGAGGGGCCCAAAACUGGACACAGUACUCAAGGUGCGGCCUCACUAGUGCUGAGGGAAUAAGAGUAAAAUAAGCUAAUUAAGAGUAAGUAAGCUAAUUAAAAUUUUAAAAGGCUGCCUCCAUUAAAAAUUGUUUUCUGUCUUGAUGGCAAUUACUUUAUUGCUUUAAAACCUUGCUUUGUUUCAGUAAGUAGAUGAUCUUCCUCAAAACAUGACAAAACGUGCCCAGCGGAUUCUAACUGAGCAACAACACAGCCUAACAUAAACUACUGUAUUAUUCAAUUUACCACAUAGCUUAAUUAUUUUUAUUCUGCAGCUUAGAAAAUUGAGACACAAAAACAGUGGUUUGUCCAAAGUUUCUGAGGAAGCCGGUGGUGAAGACCUAGAAACCUUUUGCCUGUCAGAUUCUUUGAUUCAAUCACAAGACCUUCCCCACUCUGUUACUAGUGGUACAUUAAAGACCAAAGUCUACUGUAACCAGCAGUUACAGAGCACAUUAAAGGAUAACAGAAUUUGGCAUUAAGUUUUAAUGUUAUUGUAGAUCACACUAUGAGGAAGAUCUAUCCCCCAAAGGCUGCAUUGCUGCACUACUGGAUGUGAGAAGGCUGGACUGUUGCAGAUUUCAGACUUUCUGGUGAUCAGGCAGUGGUUAUUUCAGCUGCGUUCAAUAAUCAAUCCAUCAGCUGCCACUGGUCAGCCACUAACUUUGUUGUUUUUUUAAACCUUGCAUGAAAAAAACAUGAAAGCUUCCUCUGAGAUAGCACUUAGGAUUGAUUUCCAAUGAAAUUAUAGCUGAGCACAACAGGCAGGGUACUAAAGAAUGACAUCUCUGUGACUGACUCAUGUCUUUGCUGUUCUUUGAAAUCAAGAGCCCUGAUUUGUUUGUGCUUCUGCUUGGGUUUACGUCCAACCUCCUGGGAUUCUCCUGGGUCCAGAAAGUUUGCUUGACAUGAAGCAGAUAGCUGAGAGGUCAGUAAGCGCAGGGCUUGUCUGCAGCAUCCAUGCUGCUGGUGGAUUUGCCAGAACCCAGCAAAUACAAGUGAGAAAAUGAUUUUCGAAUAAGUGUUCACGUGAAGUUCUAGUUCAGCCUUGUGAAAAAUACUGAUCAGUACAUUCAUAUGGGACAAUCCACAUCCUUCUAGGAAGCAUCUUAUUUCUCCAGUCUUUCUUCUAUGGAUUUAUGGUCCAAAACCCCAGGUUUCUCUACCAUGGUGACUCUGUCCAGUCCCACAUCUACCAUAGUGACACAGCCUGGCCACUCGUGUAACCAACCUAUUAGCAACACUCUAUGCAAAAUUUGUUUACUCUCAUCAGGACACCUAACCUUAGGUGAAUUUAUAGCAAAAUUAGCUUGUUAGCUACAGUGAUGCUUUAGAGAUGAGACAGUGUCUCAUCUGCAAGGUCAGCACGUGUGCUGUCUCAUAUUACUCUGGAUUCUAUGCUUCCAUUUGUGUUAUAGCAUCAGAGAACAUUACUGAUUGACUUCAAAGCUACUGGAAAGGUUUCAUGAGGUAAAAGUGUUGUGAUUGGAUAACAAUUUGCUUUUUUCUCUUGUUUUCUGCUUACAUCAUAGCAAAUGACUAACAAGACUGAAUUGUAAGUUAGAGCAGCUGCUAACAGCUGCAAACGUAAUCAAUUUGCAGCAGUCAUGAGCCACAGAACCAAGCAAGGGAAAGAGGUGAUGCACCUCUCCUGUCCUGCUGUCUGUCAAAGGCCAGCAAAUGGAGGCAGUUUCAGUGAAAUAUUUUGCCUAAUGGGGAUAUAAAAGCUAAUUUAGGUAUUGCUGAGAGCUGGGGCUUUACAGAGAGGGAAGUGCCUGGCAAGACCUAGCUUUGAGGCCCAGUGGUGAUGGGGAGGAACUGCACUUAACUACAUAUCCAAUAUGCAUCUCUCUCUGGAUAUGUCAUGUCUGUUCCAGGCAAAGCAUAAAGCAUAAACUUCUUUAGAUAGACUGUUUUGGUUGUAAACCCAAACUACUGCUUUUGGCAAAGAACUGAUGAGAAAGAAAUGGUCUACCUUGCAAACCCCACAGCCUGUGCUCAGAACAGCAGGUUUGUGCCUGUCCUGCUGCCCUGGGACACAAGAGCUGCAUGCCUCAGGGACCAUUUCUAUGAUGAGAAGUGGCUGAAAUGCAUUGCUAAGACAACUGACCGUACAGAGCACGGUGGGUUCAUUUCCUUCAGAGAGACAUUUAUCCCACUGAGAAAGUCCAUCUUUAGAGCUUCAUAGCUGAAAAAAUACGUUAGGCAAGGCAUGUCUCACUAAACCCUGCUGGAUUUUCCUAUUUUAAAGUUGAUACAAAUAUUAAAACCACUCAGAAAGCUUUCAGAUUGCAUCAGGCAGUAAGGUGUUUAAGAGCAGAGAGCAGCAAAUGAAGUUAGCAGAACUUAAAUUGAAAGGUGCUGGCAGCAAGCAGGCUGCGUGGAGGAAUUUUUUCUAGAUGAUGCAUAGUUCCAAAGUUACAGCUUUCACCGUGAAAUUCUUGAUAACCUGCUAUCAAGAUGUGCUGCAAGUAAAUGAUUUAGCAGCAGUCACAUAUCACAUAACCAAGUACUGGAAAAAGGUGUUGUACCAAGCUGCCAGGCUCUGAAUAUAAGCCUGGAGGACCUACACAUGCACAGAUAUAUGACGAGCAGAAAGGGAUGAAAUUAGCACAACCAUUCCCCAUGCAAGAGAAGCGCUCCUGAAUUUCCUUACAUUUUAUGUCAAUGGACAUCUAGCAAUAAUGGAGGAUAAGUAUGAUUUUUUUAAACUAUUUUUAUAAGCAUUUAAUUAAAAGUAAGUGUUGAUUAAGUCGUGCUGAACUGCGUACAUCACUGAUUUGGAAUGACCACUGAUGGACAGAGAGAAAUCUAACCCAUCACCCGGAAAAGAAGAGAAUUGCUUGGUCAUCACACGAAACACGGCCACAGAAAAUUGUACAGUAAGUUACAGGACUGGAGACAAAGCCUUGACCAUCUCAAAACUACUUUCAGUAUCACAGUGUCAGAGAGUUCAAGAUCAAUAAACAACAUUUGUAUCUUCUCAUUCGCUGGGCUUGGCAGAGUGCAGCUGUUCUUCCACUGGAAUGGUUUUGUGGAGUACAGCUAAGUUGAUCAUGGAAGAACACAUGAAAAAAAGAGGUGGAUUAUGCACUCCUAGGAGCAGUUUGUCUUUGCACAAAGGGAUCUGCCAGUAUUGGUGUGGUGGUUGAUUACAGAUGUCAGAGACUGUCCCAUGCAAGUAGAAGUGGUGCCUGUUUCUCCUCUGCUGCCUCAGACUGUUCAUUCAGUUCAUUUUGGAGCAGCACUGUUGCACAAGGGAGAUUUUUCAGACACUGACAAAUAGCUACGUUGAAGUAUAAAUUCUGAAGCACAAGACAUGAACCUAUGGACCAACCUAAGAAGGCAAGACAUCAGUUGUGACUUGAGAGGACACAGGCUUUGAGACCAUCAAAUAGAACAACAUGGAAAGACUCAAGAUGGAAAGAAUGCACGGUGCUUUUAGUAUAUGAAAUGAAAUUACUGCUGAAAGUCCUUACGUGCACGGUAUUUAAGUUUGAUACCAGCAUACAGUAUGUUAGUUGCUGAUACUUGGUCUAAGUCAGCUCCAGUUUGUCUUAUUCAACCUGAUAUCAGCUAGGACAGAGCUGAUGUCCUUCAAAAUGUCUGAUAUGAUGCUAUGUUUUGGCUUUGGAAAAAAAACAAUGUCAAUGACAUGCUGAUGUUUCUAAUUACUGCUGAAUAAUGCUGUACAGAGCCAAGGACACUUCAGUUUCUCAGCUUCUCACACUGUUCUGUCAGUGAGGGACUGAGGGGCACAAGGAGCUGCCAAGGGACAGAACCAGGGCAGCUGUGACCUAAACUGGCCAAAGGGAUAUUUCAUGUCAUAUGACAUCAUGCAAAAAAACUAUAAAACUGAGGGGAGUUGGCUGGGGGAGGUAUGGAGGAGGGGUGGAAGGGGGGCUGCCACUGCUUGGGAACUGGCUGGGCGUUGAUUGGUGGGGGGUGAGAAAUUGCUUUGUCCAUCACUUGUUUUCUAUAUUCAUACAUGUAUAUAUGUUAUAUUAUCAUUACAAUUAUUUUCCUUACAAAUUGGCAUUAUUUGAAAUGCUUACUUAUUAAUGCAUACAAAUUGUGGCCCUGAUUUUACUGAUAUAUUAAAAAUAAAAGACAGAAUCUCAUAGUAACUGAAGACCUCCAUGCAAACUCCAAUUAACAAUACUUUACACAGUAUAUGCAAGCAACAGGACAUCCAGCAAAGCCCUCCUAAAACUUGCUCUAUGAUCCAUGAAGCUACUAUCUCCAUUUUACUGAUGUAUAAACUGUAGUUGAGGGGAAAAGUUGAAGAGAUUUGCUUAAGGACAUAUAAGCUUUCUGAGGGCCCAGUCUUUGAGAGCACCCAGCCCAAUGGAUAUAUUAAUUAAAACAUAUACGGGCAUGGUACUAAAACUUAAUUCCAGGUCUUGUUGGAGCUGAGGGAUAUGUGAAGAGAAACAAAUCACUCACAUUCGCAGUUCCAUCAGCAAGGGUUACUGGUGGGAGGCUGGGCAGGUGGGUGCUUUGCUCUGUUCUUCCUGCCUUUCAAUCUUCUGUACAUCCAUCUAUUCUGAAACGUACAAACAAGUAUUACCCAAUAUAAGUCUGCAACAAUGAAUAAUUUGACAGCCUACAAGUCUUGGAAUAUUUUGCAGUUUCAUUUAUCUUAGCAGAUGGUACCACUUUCUCCCUCUUAGACAAUCUGCUAGUAUCUGCUAUAAUUUCUCCUGCCAUGACUUGUUAAUACAGGACAGGGAACAAUGAGAGUAGGCAGUAAGAUCAACCUGUGUCACAGACAAAAAGACUUGCAAAAAUAUCAGAAUGCUGUUAAAUUGAAUGUGAGAAGGAAGAAGCAGCUUUAGUGAGCUUCUGAAAACCAUCAGAAGAGAAGCAUGUGAGGAAAAAAACAUGUUCUGCAUAGGGUCUGCAUAGCUGAUCUUUAUGGAGCAGUAGCUUGCCUUUUAAUCUAGUCUUAAAAAAACAUAACCAAAGCAGAUCCUUAAUGUACUUCAUUUGCAAGGCUGUUGACACUUGAAAAAUCACUGUGGAAAACCUUCUGCUUGCUGGUAGGAAUUUGUCAUGGUUGCAGAGCCAGUUGUUUGUUUUUUUGUUUUUUUUUUUGC